GUGCUUGCUUGAACAGCACAAAAACUAAAAUUGGAUAGAUGCAGAGAAGAUUAGCAUGGCUCCUAUACAAGGAUGACAUGCAAAUUUGGAAACAUUUUAUAUUUAA
ensembl:snRNA U6 U6 spliceosomal RNA